GACGAACGCUGGCGGCGUGCUUAACACAUGCAAGUCGAACGGAAAGGCCCUGCUUUUGUGGGGUGCUCGAGUGGCGAACGGGUGAGUAACACGUGAGUAACCUGCCCUUGACUUUGGGAUAACUUCAGGAAACUGGGGCUAAUACCGGCUAGGAGCGCCUGCUGCAUGGUGGGGGUUGGAAAGUUUCGGCGGUUGGGGAUGGACUCGAGGCUUAUCAGCUGGUUGGUGGGGUAGUGGCUUACCAAGGCUUUGGCGGGUGGCCGGCCUGAGAGGGUGACCGGCCACAUGGGGACUAAGAUACGGCCCAGACUCCAACAGGGGGCAGCAGUGGAGAAUAUUGCACAAUGGGCGGAAGCCUGAUGCAGCAACGCCGCGUGCGGGAUGACGGCCUUCGGGUUGUAAACCGCUUUCGCCUGUGACGAAGCGUGAGUGACGGUAAUGGGUAAAGAAGCACCGGCUAACUACGUG
rnacentral:rRNA from 1 species